rnacentral:rRNA from 1 species
GCUCAGAGUGAACGCUGGCGGCGUGCCUAAUACAUGCAAGUCGAACGAUGAAGCUUCUAGCUUGCUAGAAGUGGAUUAGUGGCGCACGGGUGAGUAAGGUAUAGUUAAUCUGCCCUACACAAGAGGACAACAGUUGGAAACGACUGCUAAUACUCUAUACUCCUGCUUAACACAAGUUGAGUAGGGAAAGUUUUUCGGUGUAGGAUGAGACUAUAUAGUAUCAGCUAGUUGGUAAGGUAAUGGCUUACCAAGGCUAUGACGCUUAACUGGUCUGAGAGGAUGAUCAGUCACACUGGAACUGAGACACGGUCCAGACUCCUACGGGAGGCAGCAGUAGGGAAUAUUGCGCAAUGGGGGAAACCCUGACGCAGCAACGCCGCGUGGAGGAUGACACUUUUCGGAGCGUAAACUCCUUUUCUUAGGGAAGAAUUCUGACGGUACCUAAGGAAUAAGCACCGGCUAACUCCGUGCCAGCAGCCGCGGUAAUACGGAGGGUGCAAGCGUUACUCGGAAUCACUGGGCGUAAAGGGCGCGUAGGCGGAUUAUCAAGUCUCUUGUGAAAUCUAAUGGCUUAACCAUUAAACUGCUUGGGAAACUGAUAGUCUAGAGUGAGGGAGAGGCAGAUGGAAUUGGUGGUGUAGGGGUAAAAUCCGUAGAUAUCACCAAGAAUACCCAUUGCGAAGGCGAUCUGCUGGAACUCAACUGACGCUAAGGCGCG